CAUGUAGGAGCAGCAGCUCUGCCUUUGGGGCUGGGCCAGGUGGUAGACAGUUCCCCGUACUCCCCAGGGCUUGCCAUCACAGGCACUACUCUGACUUCGUGCCCUGUUGUAAGAGAAGGCGAGGGCAUGACAGUGACUAAGACCCAGCUCACCCCAGGCAGGCCCUGUCCUCAGUGAAGCCUUUGAGCAUGUGCCCCGCCAGGCCCAGCGAGCUGGAGAGCAGGCUUCUGGGGGCCCUACCAGGACCCUGUAAGCAGGCAAGGUAUCUAGAUGAGGCCUCACCUCCAGGUGGCCCCAGUCAGAGGAGGACAAACCUGCCCAGGAGAGAGAGGUCUACUGCUUUAGGCUCAGUUACUGCUACCUUCUAUUUUUCUUUGUGUUGACUCAUCCUUUGUACUUAAAUACAGUAGGUCCUCGGGUUACAUCGGAGAUCCGUUACUAUGGCACCACAUAAUGUAAUGUGAUUUCGCCAUAAGUUGGAACCCACCUACAUAAGCACCUAUGUCACUCACAUGGAGCACAUACACAGCAGUAAUGAAGUGAAACAGUAAAAAAAAAUUAAAAGAUAACAAUUCCUGACCUUUACUUGUGGUACCCAGAGACCUGCUACCCUGUCCCAUGAAUCUGCUCUGCUUCUCCCAGACAGAUCUCCAGGCACACCUCCCCUACCCUCCCUCCAGCUCCUCUGCUAGGAGAUAUGCCUGCAGCCAUUCACCACCUCAUCCACACAAGAAAUGAAAACUUACAAUAAAUCACAUUUGAGUAAAGACAAAACCCAGGCUGGAUUAUGAAAUAUAUUCAAUUUUGCUUCUGAUUUUUUAAAGAACUAAAAAGCAAAGAUGAUUCUGUCUUCAGAACCCUGGCCCUGAUUAUCAAACAUGUUAGUGAAACUAGAUAACAGGGCUGAGGGCUGGGCCACACACAGGGCUGGAUGCCUCUGGGGGAAGGACACCUGGACCUUGGAUUGGCCAGGUGGAGGGUGCCCAGGAGGGUCAAAGGCUCCCAAAGCAAUGAUAUGGAACUAAAUCACUGUAGGUGAUCCCAGGCCCUGGCCUCUCAGGCAUACCCCACAUGGGGAUCUUCUUGGCCCAAGACUAGACCAGGACUGGGGACUGGACUGCUAGUGGAGACAGACCAAUGACAAAGCCCCUCAGGAGUGCUGGCAAGAAACUGGUCUGGGGUGAAUCGGGGGUUGGUCACAUUCUCUAAGCCAUCCCUGCCUGUGUCCCAGGAGGCAGCCUUGGUCAAUGGCACCCAAGCACUGGAAAGCCAUGAAAUAGUUAAGAGAUUUUAUUCUAAUAGCUAUAAUUACAGUGCUUGUUUGUCGAAAUGAAAACUGAAAACAAGUAUACAAAACAGUUGAUUACUAAUCGUGUAUUGAAAGCAGUAAGAGAUUCCACGACACCAGAUAAACCAGUUCUGAGGUUUUCCCCAAGAUAAAUUUUAACAGCUCUAAUUUCUUCAGUGUUUAUCAAAAUACAAAAGAAAAAAGUAGAGGUUGUUGUUUUUGAUGUCAAUCUGACCCUUGCAGGCUGAGGGAGUGAAAGCACAUGUGGACGGGGGCUCUGAGGAGUUAGGCUCUAAGAUGACCGGUCACCUGCCUGCGUUCCUACUGGUGAGAUCCAGACAACCUGGAGCAAGUGAGUGUGUGUAGGGACCAUGGGGGUCUCCCGUUCUGGCCAGAGUGGUCCCAACAAAGCACCUAAGCUGACCCACACUGGCCGAAGGGAAGGCUGGGGUCCCUCCAAGGGGCCUGAGUGGUGGCCGCAGCCCCCAGCCCACCCCCAUAGGCGGUGGUGUAAGCACAGGUACAAGCACAAAUGCUAUGGGAUGCAUAUGACCCAGCAAGACAAAGCCAAUCAGGGACCGUAAGUGACCAUGCAGAAUGUAUUGUGGCUAGUUCUGCCCACUGCACGCUCCAGAUGGGAGACAGACCACAGGCAGACUGGACUCAAGCCAUUACUGCAGAACCUACACUAGGCACAUUUCUCCCUUCUCUGUGUUCAAGUGUCUCCUUAUCUUGUAUUUAUAUUAUAAAAAAUGUACUGAGUUUGGGUUAAAAACCAACCACCAAAAUGGAUCUCAACACAGAUUUAAAGCCCAGAGGAGGAGCGUUGAGGUGAUCUCAUAGCAACUCCUAGAGGCCCCGCCCUGGGUGCCCAAAAUCCCUUCUCAGUACUAAACAGUGGGUUGAUUCUUUUUUUUUUUUUUACAAUAAAAAAAGCUGAGUAAUAUUGCAUAGGAGUACCAGAAACUGCCUCAUUGGAAACAAGAACUAUUUACAUUAAAUAAAAACCCGGUUGCAGGCUGCGUCUGCACAUGUACA